CCUACGGGAGGCUGCAGUGGGGAAUUGUUCGCAAUGGGCGCAAGCCUGACGACGCAACGCCGCGUGGAGGACGAAGAUUUUCGGAUCGUAAACUCCUUUCGAUCGGGAAGCGGUACCGAGAGAAGAAGCCCCGGCUAACUCUGUGCCAGCAGCCGCGGUAAUACAGGGGGGGCAAGCGUUGUUCGGAAUUACUGGGCGUAAAGGGCCAGUAGGCGCCAACUAAGUCCGACGUGAAAUCCCAAAGCUUAACUUUGGAACUGCGUCGGAUACUGGAUGGCUUGAAUUCGGGAGAGGGAUGCAGAAUUCCAGGUGUAGCGGUGAAAUGCGUAGAUAUCUGGAGGAAUACCGGUGGCGAAGGCGGCAUCCUGGACCGAAUUGACGCUGAACGGCGAAAGCUAGGGAGAACGGGAUUAGAUACCCGGGUAGUC
rnacentral:rRNA from 1 species